UCCGUAGGCGGGCUUUUAAGUCAGUGGUGAAAUCCCAGAGCUCAACUCUGGAACUGCCAUUGAUACUGAAGGUCUUGAAUUUAGUUGAGGUGGGCGGAAUACGUUAUGUAGCGGUGAAAUGCAUAGAUAUAACGUAGAACACCGAUUGCGAAGGCAGCUCACUAAGCUAACAUUGACGCUGAUGGACGAAAGCGUGGGGAGCGAACAGGAUUAGAUACCCUGGUAGUCC
rnacentral:rRNA from 1 species